rnacentral:rRNA from 1 species
CAGCACCUCAAGUGGUCAGGAUGAUUAUUGGGCCUAAAGCAUCCGUAGCCGGCUCUGUAAGUUUUCGGUUAAAUCUGUACGCUCAACGUACAGGCUGCCGGGAAUACUGCAGAGCUAGGGAGUGGGAGAGGUAGACGGUACUCGGUAGGAAGGGGUAAAAUCCUUUGAUCUAUUGAUGACCACCUGUGGCGAAGGCGGUCUACCAGAACACGUCCGACGGUGAGGGAUGAAACCCUGGGGCGCGAACCGGAUUAGAUACCCGAGUAGUCC